rnacentral:rRNA from 1 species
UACGGAGGGUGCGAGCGUUGUUCGGAAUUACUGGGUGUAAAGCGCGUGUAGGCGGUAGGCCAAGUCUGCUGUGAAAUCGCCCGGCUCAACUGGGCGCGGUCGGUGGAAACUGGUCAACUGGAGGACGGUAGAGGCGAGUGGAAUUCCCGGUGUAGUGGUGAAAUGCGUAGAGAUCGGGAGGAACACCAGUGGCGAAGGCGGCUCGCUGGGCCGGUCCUGACGCUGAGACGCGAAGGCGUGGGGAGCGAACGGG